GACAAGAGGAGCAUUUCUAUCAGUGCCUUUGUAUUCCAAGGAGGAGACUCCGCAUGAGCAGACCCGCUCCCUGCCUGGAAGGGACUCAGCGCUAGGAUCCUAGAGCUGUGGGCCAGCACAAGCCACGUUAUGAAGUGUUUGAAGUUACCAUUUGAAGCAUCUCCGGAAUCCAUGAUGUGCUUUGCAAGCUUUGGCAUAAAAUUAGCCUAAAACUGGCUAAGGUGCAGACUGCAGAAAGGGAGGUUUGGGUACCUUUCAGCAUCGGGAAUGUUCGGAAAAAAAAAUAAUCAACAAACAGGUUUUAAAACACAUAGAAAGAAAAGGUGUUUUUCCACCCAAACCAAGAUUCAUAUAGUAACCUCACAAACUUGAAUGUGUUAUUUACAUAACUACCUCACUGGGUGACCAAAGACAGGUACACAGUUCCAGCUAUGCAUCACAGCAGGGUGUACAUAAGAUUUUUUUUCCAUCAGUGAUUCAGCGACUGAAUGGAUUCACUAGCUAAUAGCCAGGUAUGUCACUUGAUGAGAAGCUUUUUGCUUGUCCAGGUGAAGCCCUAACUGACAAACUUGCACUGAAAUAGUUACUUUACUGGUGCAAAGACCUUACAACUUAUGCAAGAUUUCAAAAGCAACUCUCCAGUGCUAGCAGGCACAUAAAAGAAAUUAGAGGACAUUUAAAGGAAGGGCCAUUGCAGAGCAGAUAAUAAUUACUAAUCUUGAUUUUUUAAACACCUCUGUCAAGUCUCCUCUCAUGCUGUACACUCUAACUACCAUGGACAGCAAGAACCUGGUGGGACAGUUGCAAGCUAAUCUGUGCCAGGGGAGACAAAGCACUGUUGAGUAACCUUAGAAACUUUUUCCCUAGUGACUGUCUCCACAUCACUGCUGAUCCCUGCUGAAACAACAUACCUGAGAGGACAGCAGGAAAGACCCUAUAGAGGCACAGAAACUGAAAAUGCAGCUUUUGUACAGAGAAGUGUUUACACAAGGUGCUGCUUAUAAAAAAGUCGUCAGGAAUGAACUGCAUCGGUUAUUAGUCCAUCCCAGGAAGAGGGAAGAACCUGAAGACAAUGGGAGGCUGCUUGGCUGGGGACUUCUUACAUUUUAACUCAGUUGAGCUCAAUGUCUGCCAGAGCACCCCAAGACCACCCCGCCGGAGAAGCAAAGUUCACCCUCACCUCGGCUGCCAUUUCGGAUGACGUUUUGCUCGUUUGCGCAGCGAUCCCGGCAACUGGUGCAACCUGUGGAACAGCGAGAAGACUCUGCUGCCACCCUGACUGGUGUCAGCCAAAGAGCAAGCCUGGAAGCCUCCUGCCCCAGCAAGGCCAAGGCCCUGGAUAUGGAAAAGGACUUACAUGGCAGCGCGUUCCACCAGGGUCUUAAUGAGCUGCAG